rnacentral:rRNA from 1 species
CAGUAGCCGCGGUAAUACGAAGGGUGCAAGCGUUACUCGGAAUUACUGGGCGUAAAGCGUGCGUAGGUGGUGGUUUAAGUCCGUUGUGAAAGCCCUGGGCUCAACCUGGGAAUUGCAGUGGAUACUGGGUCACUAGAGUGUGGUAGAGGAUAGUGGAAUUUCUGGUGUAGCAGUGAAAUGCGUAGAGAUCGGAAGGAACAUCUGUGGCGAAGGCGACUAUCUGGGCCAACACUGACACUGAGGCACGAAAGCGUGGGGAGCAAACAGGAUUAGAUACCCGUGUAGUCCCUGUCUCUUAUAC